AGAGUUUGAUCCUGGCUCAGGACGAACGCUGGCGGCACGCUUAACACAUGCAAGUCGAACGAGAGAAGAGAAGCUUGCUUUUCUGAUCUAGUGGCGGACGGGUGAGUAACACGUGAGCAAUCUGCCUUUCAGAGGGGGAUACCGAUUGGAAACGAUCGUUAAUACCGCAUAACAUAAUUGAACCGCAUGAUUUGAUUAUCAAAGAUUUAUCGCUGAAAGAUGAGCUCGCGUCUGAUUAGCUAGUUGGUAAGGUAACGGCUUACCAAGGCGACGAUCAGUAGCCGGACUGAGAGGUUGAUCGGCCACAUUGGGACUGAGACACGGCCCAGACUCCUACGGGAGGCAGCAGUGGGGAAUAUUGCACAAUGGAGGAAACUCUGAUGCAGCGAUGCCGCGUGAGGGAAGAAGGUUUUAGGAUUGUAAACCUCUGUCUUCAGGGACGAAAAAAGACGGUACCUGAGGAGGAAGCUCCGGCUAACUACGUGCCAGCAGCCGCGGUAAUACGUAGGGAGCGAGCGUUGUCCGGAAUUACUGGGUGUAAAGGGAGCGUAGGCGGGAUCGCAAGUCAGAUGUGAAAACUAUGGGCUUAACCCAUAAACUGCAUUUGAAACUGUGGUUCUUGAGUGAAGUAGAGGUAAGCGGAAUUCCUAGUGUAGCGGUGAAAUGCGUAGAUAUUAGGAGGAACAUCAGUGGCGAAGGCGGCUUACUGGGCUUUAACUGACGCUGAGGCUCGAAAGCGUGGGGAGCAAACAGGAUUAGAUACCCUGGUAGUCCACGCCGUAAACGAUGAUUACUAGGUGUGGGGGGACUGACCCCUUCCGUGCCGCAGCAAACGCAAUAAGUAAUCCACCUGGGGAGUACGACCGCAAGGUUGAAACUCAAAGGAAUUGACGGGGGCCCGCACAAGCAGUGGAGUAUGUGGAUUAAUUCGAAGCAACGCGAAGAACCUUACCAGGUCUUGACAUCGUAUGCAUAGCUCAGAGAUGAGUGAAAUCUCUUCGGAGACAUAUAGACAGGUGGUGCAUGGUUGUCGUCAGCUCGUGUCGUGAGAUGUUGGGUUAAGUCCCGCAACGAGCGCAACCCUUACUGUUAGUU
rnacentral:rRNA from 1 species